ensembl:lncRNA
CGCGCGCGGAGGCCCUGCGGGGCCCGGGCUCCGGAGGAAGGGCGGGCUCGGCGGCGCCCCCCUGGCGACAGAGCGAGGAAGGGCGGCGGGGGCCGGCGCCGCGCAGAGGACGCCGCUGCGUCCCGGGGCUCACCGCGGGCGGGAGUUUGAGGACUGAAGCGGAGAAAUGCGGUCCCGGUUCGAGACGCUGUGCCACGCGGAACCUGAAUGUGCGUGUCUUCGCGGCUUCAGCUCCGAGGACGGCCGGGGGAACCACCGCGUCCCCUCCGGACCUUCCGCGCGAGCUUCUGCCGUCGCGCGCGGGCGCCCGCUGUGGAUUUUUCUGGCUGGCCUUGGCCACUCGGGGCUCCCAGCCGCGGGCAAAGCUGAGGUGCGACCUGGACGGAACAAGGGUCCCGGAGCCGUGAGCGCCGAGGGGGAAGGCCGGAGGAGAGCGGCCCCGGCCGGAGCGCGCGCUGUAGCCAGCUUUCCGCCGGGCGAGGCCGCUGCGGAAGGAACCUGCAAAUACGGCCGCGCCUUCGGUUCAGCGGGCUGCCUGGAACCCAGGACCGAGUGUAAAGGAAAUCGAAGGCUAAGCUCAUCACGUAUAUUUUUAGAACCUCCCUUCUUCCAGGAAUCUCUCCUCUCCACCUCCUCCACCAGUAGAUGUACGCCGGAAAACGCUUCACCUCCAGCCCAGCAGCGAGAAGAGAAGACCAGAAGUGUGGGGGUCCGGGAUAUCCGCUUUCGGGCCUCGCCCCCAGCGACCUCACUUCCGCCCAGCAGGCCCCUCCCCUCGAAGACUCCCCCACCUCCACUUGAGCCGCAGGCUGCGGACCGAGCCCCUAGCACGUCGGCCGGGUAGGGGGGAUAUUGAGGAGGCCACCCUGACGGCAGCCGCCCCAAACGCUGUCUUUCUGGCCUCAGGGUGACCUUGAGCGGUCCUGUUGCGAGACCCGGCUAAGGCGUAAACGGGCACGGUGUCAACGUAUUCCCUGUAGCUGGGCGCUCCCCUCCUACCCACGGUUGGAUGACCACGGGGCCCGCGAAACCCCCGCUCUGCGGGUGGACCCCAAGUGAGCAGGUGGGCGAGGGGAGUCGUCGCCUCCACGGGUCCCGCCCCUCCAGCCCGCGGACCGCGGCCCUCACCGCCCGGGCUCUGCACAUUCAAUGCCGCUGAGUUUCGGGUUCAGGAAGCGGUUUCAGGGGCGCCGGGCCUUCGCGGUCGUCCCAGCCGGCCCUGGACGCUCAGCGCCCCUAUCUUUGAGUCCACGUGGCCAAUCUCCCCCGCCGCUGGCCGCGUGGCCUAAUGGAUAAGGCGUCUGAUUCCGGAUCAGGAGAUUGAGGGUUCGAGUCCCUUCGUGGUCGACGUUUUUCCUUCCUGUGCUACUAGGCGGAAGGAGAUUAAACUGAACGACGGUUAAGUCCGGUGUGUGUGACGUUUGCCUUCUUACUGCUGCCCGGGGGAGGGGGCGUCACUAAGGAUCUGACUUCCGGGCCGCACGGGGGAAGUCAAGUCAUUGCAGGGGGCGGGGCACUACAAUUGGUUCCGAGUCCCUGCAAAAUAAUAAGGAGCUGAGAUGAGAAGGAAGAGAGCGGAGGGUGCCCCCCGUGCGCGGUGUGCCUGGCCCGCGGGAGGCCCCGUCUGCCCUCGGCACCGACGUGAGCAUGAUAACGACCUCUGACUUUGCCGCAGCACAGGUCGACAUCCGCUGACGGCGCACACGGUGCCUGCGUCACACCACCACGAGCCUUAUCAAUAUUCCCAUUUCACGGAGGCAGAAACCGAGACCUAAAAAGGCUGAGAACGAGCUGCACUAGAGAAGGAUGAGUUAUUCUGUUUUCUGUUGAAGUUCACACUGUACUGUAUGCUUCAGUUUGAAAAAAAAC